GAGGCUGAGAUCGAUUGGAUCCUUCCAACAGUUGGAUCCUUCCAGUCUCAGAUCACUCACACUGGGGAAAGCCAGCUGCCAUACAUUAAGGAGAGACCCAGGUGGUGAGGAACUAAAGCUUUCUGCCCACAGCCAUAUGAGUGAGUUUAGAAGUGGAACUGUCAGCUCUCUGCCAAGCCUUCAGAUGACUGCAACCUGGGUCAACAAAUCGGCUGCAACCUUAAGACAGAACCAGAACCAAUCUUUAAGCUGCUCUCAGGUUCCUGACCUGUAGAAACUGUUUCUGGCAGGACAAGAUAUUUCAGGAUCAUUUUCUCUAUUUCCUGCUCCAGACCUGGAAUUAGCCAUUUCUCCAAGGAGUCUUGGUUCCUUUCAGUGGGAUGAGUGAUUGCAUAGCUUUGUGAAUGGUUAUAACUUCUUUUACAGC
ensembl:lncRNA